ACGCUCGACACCUACGGGAGGCAGCAGUGGGGAAUAUUGCACAAUGGGGGAAACCCUGAUGCAGCGACGCCGCGUGAGCGAAGAAGUAUUUCGGUAUGUAAAGCUCUAUCAGCAGGGAAGAAAAUGACGGUACCUGACUAAGAAGCCCCGGCUAACUACGUGCCAGCAGCCGCGGUAAUCUGAGCGGGCUGGCAAGGC
rnacentral:rRNA from 1 species